AGCAGCAGCAGCGUCAACCCUUAAAUAACCAAACCAAAGCCAACAGUUGUCGUCCAUACACCAAGUAUGACACACCCUCAGCUCUGACUUAAAUGGCAACGUUACAAAACGAUGUGUUAUGAAAGCUGCAACUUAGCAUUCUGGAUGGCCCAGGGUGCCGGAACGCCACGGUUCUCUACCAGGAAGUGUUUUGAGAGCGCCUGUCCAGUAGCCCCACAAGGCACAUCACCUCCCUGUACUCCGCAGACAAUCCCUGGUCCCUGAGCACAUUGUCGUUUCCCCUCAGGCCCAUUAUCAGAUCCCCUCUGCAGGCUCCCAGCAGCUGCAGUUAUUGUGGAAGACUCUACUUUUAUAGCCUCAUGAUGUCUGUGACAACACCAGCUUUUAUGAGACGUCACUGGCGGUGAACCACUGAAGAGUCAAGUGAAGAAGCUGCUUUUCCGUGAGACUUCACACAGACACUUCAUUCGAUAGCCUUGAACCGAGGGCCCUCCACUCCUGCAGAGGAGCCCACCCAGCAGUUCUGUCUCACCAUGUCAACCUGUUUGCUGAAAGAAGGAAAAUGAGCUCUCCGAGUGAAGCCUGUGUGUAUCAGUGUGAAUGACGGAGAAAGAUUUGUCUUCCCGUUCUUGCUUUUCCUGUAAACCUCAGUUUUGUAGUGUUAAACAAUCAGAUAAAAACAGAUAGAAUAUAUAUCUGGAAACAAUGUAUCUCACAGAGGUAAGUGGUACAUGCGUACUUUGAUUUUUAGUGUGUGUGUCUGUGUUGAACUUUGGUCCUUUGUUCUUUUCCGUUGUGUUCUUGAUCAUUGAAACGAGAGGGUCCCACUUGGCAGUCUUUGCUCAAAGAUGAGCUGCCUCGAGUUAAUGCAGGCCUCUGCUGCCCCUUAGGGGUGGAAGAUAGAAAGGAGACGUCGCCUCAGCACUGGGAGAAGACUACAACUGAAAUAUUCAUUAGUUUUCAUUUCGUUACUCUGGUUUUAUGAUGUUUUAUGGAAUUAUUUUCACUGUGAGUAAAAUUUGGAGCUUACAGGCAGGUGUUUGGUGUGUGCAUGGCAGGUCUAAUCCCAUUAGUGCUGCUGAUCCUCGGCCUCGGGAUCUUUUGUCUCUCUAUCAAACCUGCUUUAAGCUGUGACUGUUGAAUUCCAAUCUGUUUGCUUGGCAGCAGCAAUAAAACAAUCCUGUUUACAGGUUGUACAUAAAAGGAUCAAAAUCUACACCACAUGCUUGUUACACAAAUGUAUUCACAGUUGAAUUUCUAUUUUAGUUAACACAAAGUCAAGCAACUUUUCAUGCAAGUGCCCUCAGGAAACCUACUACAAAGGUUAAUAUUCAGGUUUCUUUUUAUAGUUGGAUUUUAUGCAGCUAAUUUUGCUCUGUGUGCAUCGAUAUGAAAAUUAAUAUUUACCCCUUUGUUUUUUCUUAUAAAUAAAUGAUUACAGUAAUUUAAAUUGUCAUACUUUCGGAGAAAUUAAAUGUCAGUAGUAUUGUUGUUGUACUGUAUGUCUGUUAUUAUUUAAAUAAAUAAGGAAUGUAAUGAACAAAAUAAUACAAUUUCAGCUACUAAUGAAACAGUCUC